rnacentral:rRNA from 1 species
GAUGAACGCUGGCGGCGUGCCUAAUACAUGCAAGUCGAGCGAACGGACGAGAAGCUUGCUUCUCUGAUGUUAGCGGCGGACGGGUGAGUAACACGUGGAUAACCUACCUAUAAGACUGGGAUAACUUCGGGAAACCGGAGCUAAUACCGGAUAAUAUUUUGAACCGCAUGGUUCAAAAGUGAAAGACGGUCUUGCUGUCACUUAUAGAUGGAUCCGCGCUGCAUUAGCUAGUUGGUAAGGUAACGGCUUACCAAGGCAACGAUGCAUAGCCGACCUGAGAGGGUGAUCGGCCACACUGGAACGGAGACACGGUCCAGACUCCUACGGGAGGCAGCAGUAGGGAAUCUGCCGCAAUGGGCGAAAGCCUGACGGAGCAACGGCGCGUGAGUGAUGAAGGUCUUCGGAUCGUAAAACUCUGUUAUUAGGGAAGAACAGAUGUGUAAGUAACUGUGCACAUCUUGACAGUACCUAAUCAGAAAGCCACGGCUAACUACGUG